UACGGAGGUGGCAAGCGUUACUCGGAUUGAUUGGGUGUAAAGGGUAUGUAGGUGGCAUUUUAAGUCGAAUGUGAAAUCCCUUGGCUCAACCAAGGAACUGCAUUCGAAACUGAUUUGCUUGAGCGACAGAGAGGAAAGUGGAAUUCUCGGUGUAACAGUGAAAUGUGUAGAUAUCGAGAGGAACACCAGUGGCGAAGGCGACUUUCUGGCUGUCUGCUGACACUGAAAUACGAGAGCUAGGGGAGCAAACAGG
rnacentral:rRNA from 1 species